rnacentral:rRNA from 1 species
UGCAGUCGUACGAGAAAUCCCGAGCUUGCUUGGGAGAGUAAAGUAGCGCACGGGUGAGUAACGCGUGGGUAACCCACCUUCGAAUCUGGGAUAACUCCGCGAAAGCGGUGCUAAUACCGGAUAAGACCACAGCCGUUUCGGCGGCAGAGGUAAAAGCUGACCUCUCCAUGGAAGUUAGCGUUCGAGGACGGGCCCGCGUCCUAUCAGCUUGUUGGUGGGGUAAAAGCCUACCAAGGCAGCGACGGGUAGCUGGUCUGAGAGGAUGAUCAGCCACACUGGAACUGGAACACGGUCCAGACUCCUACGGGAGGCAGCAGUGAGGAAUUUUGCGCAAUGGGGGAAACCCUGACGCAGCAACGCCGCGUGGGUGAAGAAGGCUUUCGGGUCGUAAAGCCCUGUCAGGUGGGAAGAACCGUUUCGAUACUAAUAAUGUCGAAGCCUGACGGUACCACCAGAGGAAGCACCGGCCAACUCCGUGCCAGCAGCCGCGGUAAUACGGAGGGUGCAAGCGUUGUUCGGAAUUAUUGGGCGUAAAGAGCGUGUAGGCGGUUCGGUAAGUCAGAU